rnacentral:rRNA from 1 species
CGCGGCCUAUCAGCUUGUUGGUGAGGUAAUGGCUCACCAAGGCGACGACGGGUAGCCGGCCUGAGAGGGCGACCGGCCACACUGGGACUGAGACACGGCCCAGACUCCUACGGGAGGCAGCAGUGGGGAAUAUUGCACAAUGGGCGAAAGCCUGAUGCAGCGACGCCGCGUGAGGGAUGACGGCCUUCGGGUUGUAAACCACUUUCAGCAGGGAAGAAGCGAAAGUGACGGUACCUGCAGAAGAAGCGCCGGCUAACUACGUGCCAGCAGCCGCGGUAAUACGUAGGGCGCAAGCGUUGUCCGGAAUUAUUGGGCGUAAAGAGCUCGUAGGCGGCUUGUCACGUCGGGUGUGAAAGCCCGGGGCUUAACCCCGGGUCUGCAUUCGAUACGGGCUAGCUAGAGUGUGGUAGGGGAGAUCGGAAUUCCUGGUGUAGCGGUGAAAUGCGCAGAUAUCAGGAGGAACACCGGUGGCGAAGGCGGAUCUCUGGGCCAUUACUGACGCUGAGGAGCGAAAGCGUGGGGAGCGAACAGGAUUAGAUACCCUGGUAGUCCACGCCGUAAACGGUGGGAACUAGGUGUUGGCGACAUUCCACGUCGUCGGUGCCGCAGCUAACGCAUUAAGUUCCCCGCCUGGGGAGUACGG